rnacentral:rRNA from 1 species
UGUCGAAAGUCUGACGGAGCACGCCGCGUGAACGAUGAAGGCCUUCGGGUCGUAAAGUUCUGUUGUUAGGGAAGAACAAGUACCAGAGUAACUGCUGGUACCUUGACGGUACCUAACCAGAAAGCCACGGCUAACUACGUGCCAGCAGCCGCGGUAAUACGUAGGUGGCAAGCGUUGUCCGGAAUUAUUGGG